rnacentral:rRNA from 1 species
GAUGAACGCUGGCGGCGUGCCUAAUACAUGCAAGUCGAGCGAACAGACGAGGAGCUUGCUCCUCUGACGUUAGCGGCGGACGGGUGAGUAACACGUGGAUAACCUACCUAUAAGACUGGGAUAACUUCGGGAAACCGGAGCUAAUACCGGAUAAUAUAUUGAACCGCAUGGUUCAAUAGUGAAAGACGGUUUUGCUGUCACUUAUAGAUGGAUCCGCGCCGCAUUAGCUAGUUGGUAAGGUAACGGCUUACCAAGGCAACGAUGCGUAGCCGACCUGAGAGGGUGAUCGGCCACACUGGAACUGAGACACGGUCCAGACUCCUACGGGAGGCAGCAGUAGGGAAUCUUCCGCAAUGGGCGAAAGCCUGACGGAGCAACGCCGCGUGAGUGAUGAAGGUCUUCGGAUCGUAAAACUCUGUUAUUAGGGAAGAACAAAUGUGUAAGUAACGAUGCACGUCUUGACGGUACCUAAUCAGAAAGCCACGGCGAACUACGU